GUUCCUGUAGUUGAAUUACAACGGUGUUUUUUCGAGUCACUGGUUUCGGUUAAACCCGGGCGGGAAUU
rnacentral:tRNA from 1 species